GUCCCUUCAAGGGACAUCCGAUAAAAUUAGAAAGAUAUAGAAAAAGUUAACAUGAGCUCUACACAAGAAUGACAUGCAUAAAUUGAGAAAAAAAAUCUAAGUUA